rnacentral:rRNA from 1 species
UAGGGAAUCUUCGGCAAUGGACGAAAGUCUGACCGAGCAACGCCGCGUGAGUGAAGAAGGUUUUCGGAUCGUAAAACUCUGUUGUUAGAGAAGAACAAGGACGUUAGUAACUGAACGUCCCCUGACGGUAUCUAACCAGAAAGCCACGGCUAAAUACGUGCCAGCAGCCGCGGUAAUACGGAGGUGGCAAGCGUUGUCCGGAUUUAUUGGGCGUAAAGCGAGCGCAGGCGGUUUCUUACGUAUGAUGUGAAAGUCCCCGGCUCAACCGGGGAGGGUCAUUGGAAACUGGGAGACUUGGGUGCAGAAGAGGAGAGUGGAAUUCCAUGUGUAGCGGUGAAAUGCGUAGAUAUAUGGAGGAACACCAGUGGCGAAGGCGGCUCUCUAGUCUGUAACUGACGCUGAGGCUCGAAAGCGUGGGGAGCAAACAGG